UUUAUAUUUAUUUUUUAAGAUUUUUAAAUAAAGAAUUUUUUUGUUUUAUUAAUUACUGUUGAAAUAAUUAUUUUAAUUAUAGUUUAUUAGUACUGUAAAGGAAAUUUUUUAAUUAUUGAAAAGAAUAAUUUAAUUUUUGUACCUUUUGUAUCAGGGUUUAUUAAAAUAAUAUUAAUUAUUUAAUUUUCUCGAUUUUAAAGGAGCUAAUAAUUUAUAUAUUUUAUUGUUGAAUUAAUAUUUAUAAUUUAUUAUUUGAAAUGAAACGUUAUUCGUCUUUAAAUAUUUCUAGUUUCUAAAGAAAUGAAUUUAAUUCAUUUUCUUAAAGUAAAUUACUAAUUUAAGUUAUUUUGUUUUAAGAAUAAAAAAUUUAAAGGGAUAAGCUUUUAAAUUUUUCUAUAAUAUUAUAUUUUUAUUUUAGGUUGUAGGAUUGGAAUUUUUUAUCAAUAAAAGGAUGUUUUAAUUUACUUAAGUAUUUUAAUAUUUAUAUUAUAUUUAGAUUAUUUAUUUAGAAUUUAUUUUUAAUUUUUUAAAAUAAGUAAUAAUGAUAAAAUUAGUAAUUUUUUUUUGUUCAAUAAAUUUAAAUAUUUUAGAUUUUAUUAAGGAAUUCGACAAUUAAUUUUUUCGCCUGUUUAAUAAAAACAUGUCUUUUUGAUAAUGAUUUAAAGUCUGGUCUGCCCACUGUGAAUAUGAAGGGCCGCGGUAUUUUAACUGUGCAAAGGUAGCAUAAUAAUUAGUUUUUUUAUUGAAAACUGGAAUGAAUGGCUAGACGAGAGAAAUAGUGUCUCAAUAAAAAUUAAUGAAUUUUAUUUUUAAGUGAAAAAGCUUAAAUAAUUUUAAAAGACGAGAAGACCCUAUAGAGUUUAACAUUAAAUUUAUAAUAAAUAAUUAGUAUUUUUUGUUAUUAUAAAUAUUUUUGUUUAGCUGGGGUGGCUUUAAAAUUGAUUUAACUUUUAUUUUAAUAAACACUUAUUUGUGAUUAUUUGAUCCAUAUUUUUGAUUAUAAGAUUUAAUUACCUUAGGGAUAACAGCGUAAUCUUUCUUUAGAGUUCAAAUCAAUAGAAGGGAUUGCGACCUCGAUGUUGGAUUAAAAUUUAUUUUUGGUGCAGAAGCUAAAAUAUUAAGUCUGUUCGACUUUUGAAAUUUUACAUGAUCUGAGUUUAAACCGGUGUGAGCCAGGUUGGUUUCUAUCUUUAAAUAUAUUAAGUACUUUAGUACGAAAGGACCAAGUAUUUAACUAAUAGUUUAAUUUUGAUUACUAUU
rnacentral:rRNA from 1 species